rnacentral:rRNA from 1 species
UACGGAGGGUGCAAGCGUUAUCCGGAUUCACUGGGUUUAAAGGGUGCGUAGGCGGAUAGGUAAGUCCGUGGUGAAAUCCUGCGGCUUAACUGCAGAACUGCCAUGGAUACUAUCUAUCUUGAAUGUCGUGGAGGUUAGCGGAAUAUGUCAUGUAGCGGUGAAAUGCUUAGAGAUGACAUAGAACACCCAUUGCGAAGGCAGCUAACUACGCGAUAAUUGACGCUGAUGCACGAAAGCGUGGGGAUCAAACAGG